GGGCCUGCCGGGCAGCGGGGAGAGGCUUCGGUCAGCAGGUCCUGGGGGUGACCCACUGCCCGCACCAGAGCUCUGCGUCCAUCAGCUUGAGGGUGUCCAGAUGGGACCGGGAUCCCCUUCAUCCCCCAGAGCCACUGGGGCAACACUGACUUGGAGCCUUCAGAGCGCAGGCGGGAGAGGGGAGGGGAGAGGGGCCGGCUGCCUGCUGGGUCCUGCAGGCCGCAUUGUAAGCUACCAUGGCCGCUCUGACCUGGGAGCCCUGGAGUGGGCCUGGCUGACGGCAGCCUGUCCUGAGCCUGCCCUGGCCACAAGGAAAGGUUCUAGAGGGAGAGACAGGGCCAGUCGGGCAGCCACGCCCCCACCCGCCGCAGCCCCUACUCACUCUUCGUAUAGGAGAGCCACUAUGUAGGUGAGGGCCACCAGCACCGUCAGGAGCAGGCCCGUGGGGCUGGCGUGCCUGAAAGGACAGAGGCAGGUCAGGCCUGGCUGGAGCCAGGGUCUCUCAGGGCCACGGCCCACCUGCCCAGGCUGGCCCUUCCUGCCGUGACCCUGGCCCUCCGGCCGACGCUGGGCCACUUGGGCCGACCGAGCCCAGGCAGCACUGCCCCUUCCUGAGUCUGGCUUUUGUGCCAGGACCAGGGUCCCCAUGUUCUCGGUCCUGAUCCAUUUAUCAUCAUUGUCUGCCUGUCUGGCCUGGCUGGGUUCCCUCAGGGUGGGGCCUGCUCACUCUUUCCGGGUCUCCAGCCGCCAGCCCAGAGCUGGGAACGCAGCCCCAGGCGGAAGAGUCCCAGUGGCUAGGGCUGUUCAUUCCCGCACAGGAGGAGAUUCUGGGGCAAAGUGCUCCCGUCUCCCAGAAACCAUGCUCUGAGGAACAAAGGCUGUUUUCUAGAAAUGAGUCCAGGGUCCCCCAAAGCCAGUUUGGUCCACCCUGAGUCCCCAGCCCCUGGCCACAGGUGCAACCCCAUGGCCACGCCCUGGGAGGAUCUGGCUGUGGGGAAGGGGGCUUAGGAGCUGCCGCCCCGCCCAGCCCUCAACACCUAGCCCAGCUUGGGCUCUCCCAGGUGGUGGGACAGCAGCCCCACGCCCAGGAGCCCCCGGUCACCCCAGCCCAGAGGACGGGAGGCCCCAGGCAGAGCAUACAGCAGGCCCAAGGCCGGAUGGAGCAUCGCCAGGGGCUCUUUGCUGGUGACCAGCUCCUGACCCCGCCACACCAGUAAGCAGCGGCAGCUCGUCAGUGACGGCACCAAGGAGCCCGGGCGCAGCUGCUUUGGGUUUCCAGAAAUAGCUGCCGUCAAGCUGUCCCCCAAUCUAUUUCUAUAGUUACCUCUGAUCCCACAGCUCCCGCAGGUGCUGGGCUGCUGCCAGGGAGGAGGGAGGGAGGGAGGAAGAGAGGAAGGAGAGGGAGGAAAGGAGCUGUCUGGCGGGCACAGAGGGCGCAUGGGCAGGCCUGGGCCAGGGGCUGUGCCCUCCUUGGCUGCCCCUGUGCCAAGCUGCCCCCUCCCCAGCCAAACCAUCACAAGAACCUCAGGCAGGGCUGGAUCGAGGUGAGGGCUGGAGGACACCUGUGGACCCCGUGGGGACCCUCUGCCCUGCCCACUGCCUUCCACCCCUGGACCUCACACUGGUCUGCCUGUCUGGGAGCUGCAGGAGGCAGGGCAGACGUAAGCAAAGAUCCAAGCCCAGGCUCCAACCCCAGGCCUGGCAACCAGCAGCGACCCCACUGUGGGCGCCGAGGGGGACAGGAGUCCCUGAUUGCACAACACGAAGCAGGAGGCCCACCUGUCCCUCACAGCCAGGCCACCACCUCUGCCAUCUGUCCCCUGGCAUCGGGCUCACUGCCACACAGCCUGCUGGGGUCCUACAUGCCGGGGAGCUCAGACACCUGGAAGCCCAUCUCCGGGGCCCUGGCAGGUGAGAGACAGAUGGGCCGUGGGAGGCCUGUGGGGGUCCCCGCUGUGUCAGCGUCUGGCCAGAUAAUGGCUCAUCUCUAAUGAGCUCCUGGACCAUUGAUGCCAUCUCUCAGCACGCUGCAUGGCUGAUGUCCUCUGGAGGCGGCUUAUGCGUCCCCCAGAGCCCUGGCCUGGCUGCCCCGAGCCCAAGGGUGACUCUCACUCCAGGGCACAAGACACUGCUGGGGACACUAAGCCACUGGGGAGGCACCGAAGGUUGGGGGGUUAGGGAGGGAUUCGUGCAGGAGGGAACACUUGACGUUGGGUUUGGAAGGACUGACAAGGGGCAUAAGUGGGAGGGUUCUAGGCGAGGGAACAGUGUGUGAGUGCAUACAUGCAUGUGUUUGUGCACACAGAGGAGAGGGGGGAGCCAGGUGUGUUGGGAACCCUAAGCCUGCAGGGACGACCUGGGUGGGGGGGAUUGUUUUGAGUUUGGGCUCAUCCUGUGGCCCCAGUGGGGGUGCUCCAUGGCCGGUGAGCCUGGGGGCACAUAGUCUGGGCCUUAGCAGGCAGAGGGACCAGGCUAGAAGGCAGGUAGGACGUGUCCCUGGGGACUGCCUGGCCUGGACGUGGGGUGGGGGUAGGGUGGGUCCCAGCCAGACCCACAGCCCCCCUUCUAGCUUCUGCUGUCUCCAACCCCCGCUGCUACGGUCCCAACUGCUGAAGGUGGGAGCCAGGAGGCAACAUCUUGCGCUUGACAUUCACUGUUUACGAUUCACUCCUUUGGGAUCCUCAGGUCUUGUGGAGAACCUGUAAAUUCUAGGCCAGUGGUUUUCAAGUGUUAAACAAAAGCAGUGGAACACUGUCUGCCAAAAAACCUUCUAUGGAAGAAAAUGGCUAAACUAGAACUGCUGGGGUGGGGGCUGGGUAUGAAGCCGAGGGCAGCGCCCGCUGUGCCAUCCUUGACCGCAGGUCCUCUGACCCGCCGGGGGAGCACAUCUCCAUACCUUGUCAGUACCCGUACCUGGCUGAGGCCGACAGCAGUUCUAGGCUUCCCUCAUGGCACGGGGCCCCCUCUGUGGGAAGGGGUAUCUGCCACAUGGGCAGAGGCUAUUGGGGCACAGGGAGUUCUGUCAGCUGCGGGUGAGCUGGGCCCUGGCGGCUCUGGCCAACCCCUCCUGCGGGGAAGAUGGGUCGGGUGGUCCCAGCCCUGAUGUCCCCGCACAAGGGUCCGCAAACUACGGCCUAGGGGCCAAGAACGCCUGUUACAUUUUUAAACGGUUAAAAGCAAAAGGAUCAAAAAGAAUGUUUCAUGACACGUGAAAAGAAUCUGAAAUUUAGGCUUCAGUGUCUGUAAGUGGAGCUGUGCUGGCGCCAAAGACGCGCAUCCAUUUUCCUGCGUCUGCAGCUGUUUUGUGUGGCAGGACCAGGGCUGAGCAGCUGUGACCUGCCUGCAGCCUUUGAGCCUCCACACUCCAGCCCUCUUUGGAGAAGCUGACCACCCUGUUCUGGGAUGUUGUUUCUGUUACCAUAGAUAAGACGCUUCUGAGAAAGGGAGAACCAGGGCGCCUAGGCCCCCACAAAUGACACGUUCUUCCUUUCUCUCUCUCCAGGGGCCCUGGCCCCCGCGUCCUGAGCUGCACCAGCUCCUCUCCGGGAGGUGGCCAGCAGGGCAGAGGGGUGGCAAGCCUGGUACUCACAUGAUGGCCCAGCCCAGGUAGUUGGCUGUGCUUCCCCAGUACAUGGGGUUGUCCAGGAUGUUGAAGGGGAACACGGUCACUCUCGCCUCCUUGAGGAUCCCGAAGUAGGGGGAUCCGAAGGCCCUGCUCAGCUUGCG
rnacentral:lncRNA from 1 species